AUUGAACGCUGGCGGAGUGCUUUACACAUGCAAGUCGAACGGCAGCACGGACUUCGGUCUGGUGGCGAGUGGCGAACGGGUGAGUAAUACAUCGGAACGUGCCCAGUCGUGGGGGAUAACGUAGCGAAAGCUACGCUAAUACCGCAUACGAUCUAAGGAUGAAAGCGGGGGAUCGCAAGACCUCGCGCGAUUGGAGCGGCCGAUGGCAGAUUAGGUAGUUGGUGGGGUAAAGGCCUACCAAGCCGACGAUCUGUAGCUGGUCUGAGAGGACGACCAGCCACACUGGGACUGAGACACGGCCCAGACUCCUACGGGAGGCAGCAGUGGGGAAUUUUGGACAAUGGGCGCAAGCCUGAUCCAGCCAUUCCGCGUGCAGGAUGAAGGCCCUCGGGUUGUAAACUGCUUUUGUACGGAACGAAAAGGCCCUGGUUAAUACCCGGGGCUCAUGACGGUACCGUAAGAAUAAGCACCGGCUAACUACGUGCCAGCAGCCGCUGUAAAAC
rnacentral:rRNA from 1 species